rnacentral:tRNA from 1 species
CCGAGUGUGGGGCAGCCAGGCCGGCCCGUCUGCCUUGGGAGCAGAAGGACGCAGGUUCGAAUCCUGCCACUCGGA